AAGGAAGAGGUUUGAAUUGGGAUCUGGAAAGAGGAUUAAGCAAACGCAUACGUUGCGGAUUUUCCCUAUCCAGUUUAAGGAUCCAUCCACCGUGGUUACCAUCAGAAGAUGUCGUUUCAGCUGGGGGACUGACAAGGUAGAGGGGUGUUUUGGUAAGUUUAAAACCCCAACUGUUUUCAGCGAUGCCGUUAUUAGGAAGAAUGGGGAAACGAGAAGGGGAAUUCGGAGAUUUUCCCUAUCCAUUUUAAUGAUCCAUCCACCGUGGUUAUUAUCAGAGGAUGCCGUUUGAGCUGGGGGAGUGAUAAGGUAGAGGGGUGUUUUGGUAAGUUUAAAGCCCCAGCUGUUUUCAGCGAUGCCGUUAUUGGGGAGAAUGGGGAAACGAGAAGGGGAAUUCGGGUAGGGUUUAGGAGGAACGGAGGAACGCCAGGAAGAGCAAACGGAACGGAAACGGAGGAAAUCGAUUUCGGAAGAGAGGUGUUUGGAGAUGAGGUGUACGAGUUCUCGGGGGAGUUGACACCAUUCUGCCAUUAGAAUAGUGGAUUGGUUGAUAUUUGGAGAUGAGGUCUACGAGUUCUCGAGGGAGUUGAGACCAUUCAGCCAUUAGAAUAGUAGAAGAUUGAUUGAAUGGGCGAAUAGAGAUUAGAGAGAGAUUUGUCCGUAGUAUUUAUAGCAAUUUGAAGGGAAUGCAAAUCUGAGAAGAUACUUCCUGGAAAUAGCUUCUGCCAUUGAACACAUGGACGACAGGACGAGAUGUAAAAGGCUGAUUCGAGCCUUGUAUGUAAGCCCUUUUGGGCCAGCCACA
rnacentral:lncRNA from 1 species